UCUCCGUUGGUGAACCAGCGGAGGGAUCAUUACCGAGUUUUUCUACUCCCAAACCCCUGUGAACUUAUACCCUUACUGCUGCUUCGGCGGGUUAACUCCCCGGAAGGCCCAAAAAGCCGCCGGAACUAGGCGCCCGCCGGGGGACACAAACUCUUGUAUUUCUUACUUUGUAUAUCUGAGUGGAAGCAUAAAUAGAUGAAUCAAAACUUUCAACAACGGAUCUCUUGGUUCUG
rnacentral:misc_RNA from 1 species